AUAAGUAACUGUCUCAAAAUGACUAGCAGUUACUUUGGGACUCAAAGAAAUAAAAAGGAAAGAAGGGAUUUGGGCCAGAAACUGUGUGGGGGAAAAAAACAUCCCUCACAAAGCAAGGAAACCCCAUUCCACCACAGUUUUAUUUAACGUCUCCAAAAAGAAAAAUUGUGGGGGGCAUGCCAUGCAGAUUUAGAUGCCAAGAUGUAAGAGGGUCAUUUGAGACAUCUUGGCUUGAAGACCAACUCAGCCACACUGCUUGGUUUGCCUGUGAAGCCACUGAAUACAAAAGAAGCUGAUAUGAGGGAAAGCCCCAACUUUGACAAAAAAAAAAUGUCAGCAUCAAAAUGGUUAAUGAUUGCAUUUUAAAUCAAAAUGUUCGCCAUGACUGACUGCUUUGCAGCACUAGGUGCGCAACCCCACAAAUUAAAUUGAUGAUUCCCAUAUCGGGCCAAAAAUGCAACAGGAGAAGGCUAUGAAAAAUUAGGAAAUCUUCUUGACAUCGGGAAAUCCAACACUUGUCUGCUCUAACAUCUGUAAGUGCCAAAGAAAGAGGGGGAUUUUUUUCCUUAAAGAAAGGCAGGUUUGCCUAUCUCCAAGGGAUGAUCGGUCAGGGCUGUUUUCUGAAGAAGAAGCCUAUAGGCAAAGAGGCAUCCAUAUGUUCACACAGGAAGAUUCAUAAAGGCAAGGACAGGAACAUAAAGGUAUUAUUUUGACAUGAUGACCCCUGGAAAAAGUAUUUGACUCAUCCCAACAACAGCCACCCCCACCCUGCCUUCCCCGUUGCAAAAUACCACGACCAAAAUCACCAGCAACCCAAGCCAGAGACAGACCAACAGCCUAAAACCUACAAUGAAUUUACAUCAUCUAUAUGGAGCUUUGGACCAACAGGUUGUUGCCACUUUUGAGGCCUUUGCCUCUGAGAAGUUGAGUAAAUCCUCUGGCCCCUUUCAAAUAUUUUCUCAUCUGCACUGAAUUUCUACUGACAAAGCAACUGAUAGAUACGGACCUCAGAAAUAUUUAUUAUCAAUGAGUAAAGUUUUUUGUUUUUUUGUUUUUUUUUUACUUAAUCUGAGGCAAUUAGUUCCUGAAUAAACACAGACUAAGUAAUCUACCUCCUCAAAAGAUAAUCAGACUUGAAAAGCGCUGUUUGGUCCUACCCAAGAAAAGCACAACUUGAUUAAAAUGCUUUGGAGGUUCACUUUCAUUUCUUCCCUUUUGCCCUGGAAAACAUUUUAUAACAUCCCAAUAACUUUUAUUUUCUUCCCAUGCCAAACCUGGGGCCUCUGUUGGUUGUUGCUGUCCUUUUCCCCCACCUUUCCUAAAUCUUUAACCCUGCUUCUCAUUUUUCUUUGCCCCUAAUCUAAUCACUAAUUCCUUGGCUUGGCCAAAUAGUUAAAAAUGUUAAGUGCUGCU